rnacentral:pre_miRNA from 1 species
CAAAUACUCCCACCGUCCCAAAAUUCUUGUCUUCGAUUUGUCUAAAUACAAAUGUAUCUAGUUACAUUUUAGUGUUAAAUACAUCCGUAUCUAGACAAAUGUAAGACAAGAAUUUUGCGACGGAGGGAGUAUUUU